GGCCGUCCCUUUCAAAGAAAGGCUCCAGGAUUCGGGUUCCUCCCUUACCUCGUCCUCAUCUUCCUGGUCGGCAUAGUGCUCCAUCUGGCUGGCAUGGAUUUCCUCCGCUGCCUUGACGCCUCUCGUCGCCGGCUUCCCCACGACGGCUGGAGCUAGUCCGAAGGCUCGCCAGAAGUCGACUCCGAAGUACGCCGUUUGUUCCAGGCAGCUCCAAGCGUCCGAUGAUGGAUCGAUCUUCGCCAGAAGCCGUACGGACUACCGAAAAAUACGGUUGGACGGUAACUCCCAGCGCUUCCACGAGCUCUCGACAGCCUUUGCCCAGCACACUU